rnacentral:rRNA from 1 species
AGCCAUCAGGUGAUAUUGAUGGUUAAACCUGCCCAAUGUUAGUUGAAUGAAUGGCCGCGGUACUUUGACCGUGCUAAGGUAGCGUAAUCAGUUGUCUUUUAAAUGGAGUCAGGAAUGAAUGGGAAAACCGGGUUUAGCUGUCUCCAAACUAUUUAUUUGAAUUUACUGUUUAAGUGAAAAAGCUUAAUUUUGAAAAAAAGACGAGAAGACCCUUAGAAUUUUUUUAAAAGUAAAAUGUGAUUUUUAUGAUGAUUUUGUUGGGGCGACAAAGAAAUAUCUAAAAACUUUCUUUAAUAAUACAAGCCGAUUUUGUUAAGUGAGAAUAAAUUACCUGAGGGAUAACAGCAUAAUUCUACAACUGAGUUUGUGACCUCGAUGUUGGACUAGGAAACUAGCAGGCUAGCCGUUUGCUGUGUGGGUUCUGUUCGAACUUUAAUUCCU